UCGAAACCGGAUAGAGGUCGAUGAUAUUAGUCAGCGCACAGUGUGUCAUUUCACCAAAAAAGUUCAAACUUCAAGUCAGAUUAAAGAUGAAAUAUAUCUCAAUAAACGAUACUUGGAGGUCGCGGCAAUGGAAGUUCGACUGUGUGUUGGAUAUCAAUACUCUCUUUCGGGAACUUAAGGGAAUUGAAAAAAUGGCUGACGUGAGUGAGAGAUUUAGAAGCAUGGUGGGGAGCGAAAAAAACAUCGAUGACUUAUCGAUGCAUCGAUGUUUUCAUCGAUGUUUUGGCACCUCUAGAGUCUGGCUUAAUGAAAAAUUCGCGGGCGGCCUCACUAGAUCGGUAGUUCAAGUUGAAAUUGGUCUAUUCUUGGAAGUUGGUAAAUCAGUGCAUGGCAAAAUUAAAUUUAUAAACAUUGAGGAAAAUUAAAUCUAGCAACAUAAGACUAUAAAAUGUGACUAAUAUUGAGAUCAGCAAAGAAAAAAAUUGUGAUUAACCACCCCCACCUCCCGCCCAACCGUCCGAGGGGCGCGGUUGUGUGAAUUGCAUGAAUUGCUUCCUUGCAAUUGCCAAAUUAUUAACCAUUUUAUAAACUACAAAGCAGUACAAUUGUUGCUAUUGGGUAUAACAUAGAACGAUAAUUAGCACGAUAGCAAUAAGUGUUUUUGUUUAUUGCGGAGGCUUACAUGUUAUCGAAGUAAAAAGUUGUAAUCGAAACUUAAAAUCGUAAAGGCUUUAUCUACAUCGAACUCUCUGACUACAAAUUUCAAACUACAGUGAUUUACCACGAAGGAACCUUUCUACAUGUUUAUCGGGGUAUAUGGAUAUAGAGCUGAACUUGCAGAUACGGGCUCUGCACUUAACUGUAAAUAAGGCUACGUAAAAUGAAGCUUUCCUGUAGUAGGCUAGACUGUUAAACCUAUGUAUGUAUAUUAAGACUAUGUUAUACCCAUGUUAAGCCGAUGUAAAGAUCAUGUUGAACGAGAGAACAUUCUAGAUUAGCGAGUAUUGAGCGUCGUUUCUGAUCUUCCACACUAGGAAAGGUAAAUUACUUAGGAAAUUAGGAGUCUACUAGAGUAAUCUAAGGGUCAGUGUCCACAGCUAGGCUCCGGAGGGCAAACAGCAAAAAGUUCUUUUGGACAGAUUCAAUGGGAUUACUAUAAACAUCAAUUUCAGAAUUCUAGACACAAGAACUCCAGAAUAGGAUACUUCAAUAUAGGGCGAACUAACGAAGCAAAAAGGGUCUUUGUUACAUAAGAAGAAGUAAGAAAAGUUUAACUUCAUCAGCAUACAUGAGUAUACUGGCUUAACACGCUGAAGAUCCAGACUAGGAGAGCUUUCGUUUAAGGUGGGGCUGAAGAUUAAGUUUGAACUGUUCAUAGCGAAGGAAUAAAUCUGAUUUGAAGUUGUUGAAAAUAUCGGCGAUGGCCUUAUCAGAGUUUGCUGUAGUAUUAUUGAUUUAAAUGGAGAAGGGAUAUAAAUUGGGUUUAUAGAACUGUUUUGGGUCCUGCGCAAACUGAACCUUACAACAAAUCAAAUAAUUUGUAUAGCACUUAGCGUUAAACACGGUAAAGUUCGCCCGAGCUUUAAAAUAACUAGAGGUAACAUUUUAUAUCUAUUAUAAAGCCUAAAGAUUUUACACCUUUUAGGCGUGUCAGCUCUUUAUUAAGAUGGUUUAUUAGAAACCAACGGAUGGGUUACCGGAACACAUAAAGAAAAGAAGGAGUUCAUGGCAUUGUAAAAAAUGGCCGGCGCGGUUGCCGUAACAGAGCAUAUGUAAAUUAAAUUAGGAUAUUAAGGUAUUUAGCCUUUAAAUGACAGCUUUUCAAAAACAGCGGACUUUGUAAGCUAUUCAAUCAGAUUACCUUUCUAAAACAGUACCCGUAUUGAUAGUCACUUCGAAAGUUAAAUGGUAAGGAUCUUCAAGUUGCGUCAAUGGAGGAACUCUAAGGCCUACAGGAUCAGAAACGAAACAUAGAUCUAGCAAGCGGUUAAAAGAAUUAUAGACAUGGUUAACAUGAGAUAUGUACAUAUAUCAAGCAUGCGAUCAAUCAAUUAUGCUGUGCCGCAGUCUGGAGGACAUAUUUCACACUAUCAGAAGACCAAUCAAGAUCCUACUUAACAUUUUCGGCCAGGGUCUUGCCUUGUAUAUAUGUAGGUCAGGCCAUCUCAUAAUCCGCCUUCGGUCUGGCGCAAUAAACUUAAGCAAUUUUGUGCCACUUUCUGAUCGUUUCUUCAUCAUCGUGCACAUUGUAAGCUGCUUAAAACUUAAAAAAAUGCAUUACCAAUAUUUUUUAACGCAAUUUGCUAAGUAUUUUCUAACUUAACUUCCGGUGCCUCCCAAGAAACCAAAUGGAACGAAGAAAUAACGACUUUUUUAUUU